GGGAGGGAAAAAAAAGCCAAUAAAGGCACAACAAAGCAGCAAAAUCGAUCAUGAAACAAACUUCUGAUCCAUAAUCACCUACAAUUACAUCUGGUCAAAAUUGACCGGCUCCCUCAGAUACCUCUCCAUCUGCUUCGCCCUUGUCCUUAUAGACAUGUCAAGCAACUUCUGCCCAAAUUCAAUCACCAACCCACCAAGAAUACUGGGGUCAAUCUUCUGCUCAAUUAUUACAGUUUUCUGUCCCAAUAUAUCUCUCAAGGUUUGCACAAGUUCUUUUUCCUCUGCCUCAGGGAGGGGAAUAACAGUGGUCACAAGAACUUUAAUCUCCCCCUUAUGCGCCAUUGUCAGUUCCACAAAUCUCUUUGAGAUCCGUUCAAGAUAUUUAAGCCUUCCGUUAUCAGCCAGUACAGCCAAGAAAUUCUUAGUGACUUCUGUAAAACCAGCUUCGGCAAAUAUCUCCUGUAUAGCCUUCACUCUUGUCUCUCUAGGCACUGACAAAUCCUUUAUGAAGUUUGAAAAUUUUGGACUCUUCUUUGAAGCCUCAACAAUAUCAAGAAUCUCAGAUUCAACCUUUUCUAGCUUAUUAGCUUUGGAUGCCGCAUUGAAAAGUGCAGUUGCAUAAUUCCCGGUACCUCCAUAGAGUGCCAAUGGUACCUUGGGCGCCGCUCCAGUUGAUUUCGCCUCGGUCGCAAAGUUCCUCCCGCCCUCGAGGUUAGGGUUUGCGAAGGUCGGAUCGGCGGCUGAGAUCCGGGGUAGGACGGCGUCGGCCCUGAGGGACCGGUGGAGGAGGGGUGCGGUCGAUCGGAGACGAGCGGCGAGCGCCAUCGGAGAUCGGGGCUUCGUUUACUGCGCCGCCGGG
rnacentral:misc_RNA from 1 species